rnacentral:lncRNA from 1 species
AAUAAAACCAAGGACUGGAAAAAGCUGAUGGUUGUCUCAAGCAGGCCGGCACUCCUUCCACCCUCAGUGCACAUGAACACCUGCAAUUGCAAAAGAAUGUCUGGCAGAUUCCUCUGUGAAGCAGGAACCCUUGAAGGACCAUCCCAUCUUGUCUUGGCAAGUUCAGCAGUCAUUUUUCUGUGGAUCCUGCACAUCCAGUUCACACAGCAUAUAGUCAAGCAGUUCAGGCAAGAGCAGUUUCCUGCCCAAAUGGCUAGCCCUGCUACACUGGAGGCACACUCUGUAACAAGUUUUUUCGAUGCCCAUCAUCCUCUCUGACAUAAUUGGUGCUGCCAGGAGCAGAUGUGACUCAUGUCAACAGAAUUCUAAAUUACUGAAACAUUUAAAUGCCGUGUUCUGUAGGUCUUAUUUAUACAAAAAGGGGGAAUUGUUGUGGGAACUCAUUCAACCAAUAGCUUUUGAGGUACCAGUCCCUUCUAUGUGUGGUCUCAGCUGCUAUGUGUCGUAGUCAGAGAUCUGAUCACAGUUUCCUGUGCCCCCAGGGCAGAAGACUGAGGUGGCUCUCUACCUUUAUUGUGUGACUAUUCCCCAAAUAAAUAUUUGAUAUCCUUCUAUUAGGACUUUUGCGGGCUCUCUUAUUCAUGCCUGCAAUUCAUGGUGGCCCAAGUCUGUAAUCCUAACACUCAGCUGAGGCAAGAGGAUUGUUUAGAGUUCAAGGCCAGUCUGAGCUACAUGAAAUCUAUGUCUUAAAAGCAAUCAAAUAGGGGUCAGGGAGAUGGGUCAACAAGUUAGGGCACUUGCUGUCAAACCUAUUGAUCCCAGUUCAAUAUCUGGGACCCACAUGGUGGAAG